rfam:Candidate division WWE3 bacterium GW2011_GWA2_44_16 TW36_C0008, whole genome shotgun sequence.
UCCGGCGUAGCACAAUGGCAGUGCGGCUCCCUGUUAAGGAGAUGGUUGUAGGUUCGAAUCCUAUCGCCGGAG